rnacentral:rRNA from 1 species
UAGGGAAUCUUCCACAAUGGACGCAGGUCUGAUGGAGCAACGCCGCGUGAGUGAAGAAGGUUUUCGGAUCGUAAAGCUCUGUUGUUGGUGAAGAAGGAUAGAGGCAGUAACUGGUCUUUAUUUGACGGUAAUCAACCAGAAAGUCACGGCUAACUACGUGCCAG